rnacentral:snoRNA from 1 species
ACCCAGGGUUUGAAACCCAUUCUACUACUGAUUAAAUGUAUGACCUUGGGCAAAUCACUUGACUUCAGUAUACAUUAGUUUCCUCAUCUGUAAAAUGGGCAUUAUAACAAUACCUACCCCCAAAGGGUGUGAGAAUCAAAU